rnacentral:misc_RNA from 1 species
ACCUUAUGGAACUUAAUGAAGGGGGUAAGUUCAGAUGAUUAUUAUAUGAUGGGUUUCAUUACAUAUUACUUCUUUCUUGCAUUUCUAUGAGGAGAGGGGUCAAGGCACGUAACUAAACAAUAUUAGAAGGAUAGAAUUUAAGGUCUUAAUUUUGAAGAUAGCUAUUGGUGGUUCAAAAACUAUGAUAAUGGGCUUUAAAUGUGCAAAGAUUUGUUUCAAGUAUAGAGAUACACCCCCAAAACAAAUCUGAUGACGCUUCAGAAGCAUCUGAAUUAGAUUUUGCAAGUGGACAAAGUUUUAAUAAAGAACUGGACACUUAAAAUUGCUCACUGAACUGCUGAGAUUAAGAUCAGCGAACUAAACAUUGAUCAUCAAAUUAGUUUCUUUCAGAUGAAAAUGACUUGUCACGACAGAAACUCUUGUGAUCUACAAUUCAUCUUUAACAAUUCGAGAUACAUUUCUGCUCUAAGAAAUGUUAAAACUUUUCUAUGACCCAUGUACUAGGAUGGUUGCUUCUGUUGUCUUGCACUAUUAUCAUUCUAAGUGGUUCACGUGGGAUCCAGCCUCAAAAUGCUGCCGUCUUAGAGUUUGACAAAUUGGAUUGUUGGACCUGGAUGUGCAGCACACCUCUGUAGUUAGCUGAAAUUGCGUUUCAAAGUGUUUUGUCAUACCAAUUUCCUGUAAGAUGGAGAGUAAUUUUAAUUACUUUGCACUUUGGCAAGUUAUUAAUGAAAGGUAGCUUUUUCUUGUAAAUAAGCUGCUUUUGCAGGAUUGCCACACUUUCUCAUUAGAGUGGAUAAUUUAGACUUGAACAUAAAUCCUUUUCUGCAAUGGUUUUGAUGCCUAUUUCUCAGUUCUAAUUAACUUAAUUCUUUUCUACAGUUAUAAUGCUCUCUGGCUUGAAAUGCAGCUAUGCAAUAAAAUGGGAAACGUAUACAGGACUCAGAAUUUGUUGUGCUUGACUCCUUAAGUGAAUGGAAACCCACUGUGACAGUUGAUCAAUUAUAUAAGACACCUUUGCCUAACCCUUGAAUUAAUUCUGUUUCCUGGUUGAGAUGUUUGGAUCCUGACACAACCUAAUCUCUCUACUUUCUUUCACUCAAUAGCAGAAUAUUAUGAGUGAUGGUCAUGUUCCUCUAGCACUUGUGUUUUCUUUGCAAAUGUUUGAGUUUUAAAAGUUCCCUUUCAAGCUUUCACUCACAAGAGGUGUGAUAUAUAAUUGUUUGAACUUAACCCAUUAUUUCAUUUCCUUUGAAAAUUUAGUUCAGUUCAUAAUUGUUAUUAGAGUGUCAGUUGAUGGCAUCAUUUUCAAAUUUAUUGAUCAUUUUGGUAAUUCUAUUCUUGCACAAAAUCCUCUCUAGUUUUUGGAUCUUCUGGAAAUGGA